CCUCUCUUCCUCGAUAGCACGACGGCGCGGGAUUUGCUCUUUCCCCUCCGCCGCUGAUGGGGCGGCGACGCCUUGGUUCUCCUCCGGCUGUGGCGCUACGGACCAAGCGUGGUCUUAAUCUUCCGCCGGAAUCAGUCGUCAGUAUAGCGGACAAGUUGGGGAAUUAUGGAAUGAUGAUGGUGCUGUUUGAGACGCCUUCUGGCUUUGCAAUUCUAACUAUUAAUGGGGUGUGCCUGUACCUUCCAGAUGCCAUGGAGAAUAUCUGGGCAAAGUUCGCAGAUGGUUAUAGAGCAUGACAUGUUAGU